GUAGUUUUGUGGUUCGUAAGUGUGAUAUAUGACUUUUAAUGCUCAUGUAUGAGAUGUGCCUCCCUCAAAGCUUAGGACUUCAGCACAUGGCAUAACAUGAAA
ensembl:snoRNA